UAAAGUGGAGCUGCUAAGGAGGAGAUAAGAAUGUAGCCUACAUAGAGCUGCUUUGUGGCUGCAGUGGCAGAAGAAAGUAAAGUAACAGCAAAAUUAGAAAUGUAAAUAGUGCGUUCAGUGAUGUGCCAGCUAUUUUACUGCAUGCAGCACAUGUGAAGGCCAAAUUAGUUAGCAGAAUUUGAACACAUUGGUAGAAAAAUAAGAAGCCAUGACUCCAGACUUCAGGUGUGGACGGAGUCAUUGAAGAGCUGGUAUUAGUAGGCCUAUAGUUUUUGAUCCAGCAUUGCUUAUGUUAAGAUAAGCCAUAACUUUAUUUAUCCAAAGGGAAAUUGUUUUGCAAGUAUAAAAAUAUAAACAAGCAGAUAUCAAAAAUAUAAACAAUGUCAAAUAUAUAAAUAAGUUUAACAGUAAGUAUCAUAGGUUGCUCAAAACUUUGCAUGAUGUGAGCUGACUGCCAAUAUAAGGUCUAUAACUUGAUAGACCUUUUUCAUUGAAGACAUUUUCACAUGUCACAGUAAGACAAGCGCAGGUGUAAAUAAUAAAAUUAAUGAUGGCUGGUUUCCAUUUAGCUGCUUGAAUUUCAGGGUCCUGGUGUUGUGCAUGCUGGCUCACUGUACUUUGGCACUCGAAGACAACAGAGCCAUUGUUAAUGUUAUUUGUAACACCUGUGCUUUUCCUGGCUUGACAAGUCAAAUGAAAUUAUUCCCUUGUUCCUUGUCAGUGGGCUAACCCUAACUACCUAAUUUUAUUUAAAAAUGUUGUGUUUUUCAGAUAUCCUGCCAACUAAUAGAUAGAUAGAUGGAAUAGAAACAAGCAAACAAUUGGGACCAAAGCUGUGACCUUCUUGGAAGAGGUCAAAUAAUAGAGAAGUACCAAAACAAAUUCAAACAUACACGUCUACGAUGGGUCUACAAAGUUUUAUGUCUUUAUAUUGAAAAAUCUCUUUGUCCUUUAUCUUUUCAAUCCGUGUGCUUUUAUUUCCUCACUCAUCUUUCUGCACAGAUUUUUCCAAAUGAAUAACUCGAAGGCCUGCUGAUAUUGCCAGAUGAUCUCUGCACCUUUAUGAACAAACAAACUACUUUCACAUUUCAUUUUCAUUCAUUCCCUAAUGGUUCUGUUCUUUUCUGUCUGUCUAGUUUUCCCUCAGGGAACUGUUACCUCUUCAAUCACUGGCAAGGAGUGUAAACAUAGAAACAAUCCAAAAGGAGUCACACAGAUCUGACAGACUGCAGAAGUUUCACUUGCUCAUUUCAUCAACUGAAAAAUAUCAAUUGACCUUGAUAGACCAAACUAUAACCUGCUGUAACUGUAACUGUGGUAUAACAUAAUGAAAUAAAAAAAACAUAAUAACCAA